AUUCAAAAGUGAAAACAUCUAUUCAUUAAAAAUGCUAAAGAACGUAAUUGUAAAAGAAAUAUAAAUCCAUAAAAUAUUCAAAAUGUAAUAGAAUAAAACCAUAAAUGCUUUAAAAAAAUAAAAUUCCGAGAGUUUCCAUGUGGUGCUCAGUCAGGGAGUUGUUCUAUAGAUCCGCAACACUUCUCUGUUUGACAUGUUCUGCACGAAUUAAGAAAGAAAAAAAAAAAUAAGUGUUUCAUCUUAAUAACCGGACGUUUGAGACACUGAUGACCAUCCGUCCCAUCAGUGUGGAUGUUCUUGAAGAAGUUUGACCUGUGAGGAUCCGGUUUGUGUGUUUCCCCCUGUCCCUCCCCAGGCGGAUCCGUGCGGAGAGAAGGAGUUGAGGUUUGGUUGGUUCUGCUGGCUUCACGCAGGUUUACGUGCGGGGAAUCUGAAAGCUGUUCAAAAAACAUCCACCUUGAAUUUUUCAGACGGCGACCACGCAGAGUUGAAGCUCCUUCUCGCAGGGAGAAAUCGUGGCAGCACAGCCUAAUAAUAGCAGAACGAUGCUAAUCAAGAAGACACGAGUCUGUGCAUGACAGCAGGAUCACUGGAACAGUGGGAUUCUCUCGUCUCCAGGAAGCAGCAGAACAGGAAGGUGUCCUUGUUGAAAGUCAAACAUCCAUCCAUCAAUCCACGCAGAAGCAGCUGCAGGCUGCUGCUCUCAUACGGAGCUGUCAAUUAAGAAGGAUUUAGCGAGAUGAGGCCGAGCUGAGAUGAAAAAAACAUAAAUCUUCACUGCAGAGCUUCGACUUCUGUUUAUUUAGUGUUCACCGUCUGAAAGAUCAUCUAUUAGCUGCAUUUAUUUUAUCGUCAAUGGAGAGAUCCCAGACUGACCAAAUAUGACCUUAAACUAAUAACUAGAUUAACUAGAUUUUUUAGACAUCCACAAAAUGUCAUUUUUUUCCCAAUAAAUACUUAAGAUAGACUGAAAUGAAGUGUGAAAUGGCAAUGAGUAAGCUUUAGACGAGGGAUUACAUUUCAUCAGAUUACAUUUAACUAAAAAAAAUAAUUUAAAGAGAAAACAAGUCAA